UCUCCCUACGGGGGGCAGCAGUGGGGAAUAUUGCACAAUGGGGGAAACCCUGAUGCAGCGACGCCGCGUGAGUGAAGAAGUAUUUCGGUAUGUAAAGCUCUAUCAGCAGGGAAGAAAAAAGACGGUACCUGACUAAGAAGCCCCGGCUAACUACGUGCCAGCAGCCGCGGUAAUACGUAGGGGGCAAGCGUUAUCCGGAUUUACUGGGUGUAAAGGGAGCGUAGACGGCGCGGCAAGUCUGAUGUGAAAGGCUGGGG
rnacentral:rRNA from 1 species